UCAACAGCGGUCACCCUAUUGGUGUCAUACUUGCUUCUUGCGAUCUGCCUAAGUGUUCAGAAAAAGUCAAUGGCUUUUUAGCAUCUUCUGCCAUUUUGGACAACACCUAUAACGAGUACAUCAUAUUCAGUCGACUUGGUCCAGUCUUCAGCUCUGAACCCUCCGUGAAAGACGAGGUGAAGAUUAUGUCUAAUCUGGCAGAUGCCCAACUUAUCAUUAACAGGGAGAUUUACAUGACUGUUUAUGACGGCCGUUACGUCACUAUUAGCGUAGACGGGGACAAGCCACUGUACGUGGAAUCUUCGCGACCUGUGAUGUGCUACUACAUCAGUAAAAGCACAGACUGUUCGUGGGCUAUCUCAGCGUCGCUGGUGCUACCCUCUGAUUCAUUCAUCUUCAGCUACUC